GUGACCUCGGAUCAGGUAGGAAUACCCGCUGA
rnacentral:rRNA from 1 species